UACGUAGGGGGCUAGCGUUGUCCGGAAUCAUUGGGCGUAAAGCGCGUGUAGGCGGUCCGGUAAGUCCGCUGUGAAAGUCGGGGGCUCAACCCUCGGAUGCCGGUGGAUACUGUCGGGCUCGAGUCCGGAAGAGGAGUGUGGAAUUCCUGGUGUAGCGGUGAAAAGCGCAGAUAUCAGGAGGAACACCAAUGGCGAAGGCAGCACUCUGGGACGUGACUGACGCUGAGACGCGAAAGCGUGGGGAGCAAACAGG
rnacentral:rRNA from 1 species